AGAGCGAACGCUGGCGGCAGGCCUAACACAUGCAAGUCGAGCGGUCGUAGCAAUACGGUAGCGGCAGACGGGAGAGUAACACGUGGGAACGCGCCCUUCGGUUCGGAAUAACUCAGGGAAACUUGGGCUAAUACCGGAUACGCCCUUACGGGGAAAGAUUUAUUGCCGAAGGAACGGCCCGCGUCCGAUUAGCUUGUUGGUGAGGUAACGGCUCACCAAGGCGACGAUCGGUAGCUGGUCUGAGAGGAUGACCAGCCUCACUGGGACUGAGACACGGCCCAGACUCCUACGGGAGGCAGCAGUGGGGAAUAUUGGACAAUGGGCGCAAGCCUGAUCCAGCCAUGCCGCGUGAGUGAUGAAGGCCUUAGGGUUGUAAAGCUCUUUUAGCAGGGAAGAUAAUGACGGUACCUGCAGAAAACGCCCGGCUAACUUCGUGCCAGCAGCCGC
rnacentral:rRNA from 1 species